UACGUAGGCAGCAAGCGUUGUUCGGAGUUACUGGGCGUAAAGCGCGUGUAGGCGGUUGUCUAAGUCUGCUGUGAAAUCUCCCGGCUCAACUGGGAGGGGGCGGCGGAGACUGGGCGACUGGAGGGACCUAGAGGCCGGUGGAAUUCCCGGUGUAGUGGUGAAAUGCGUAGAGAUCGGGAGGAACACCUGUGGCGAAGGCGGCCGGCUGGGGGUACCCUGACGCUGAGGCGCGACAGCGUGGGGAGCGAACCGG
rnacentral:rRNA from 1 species